rnacentral:rRNA from 1 species
AUUGGGACUGAGAUACGGCCCAGACUCCUACGGGAGGCAGCAGUGGGGAAUAUUGCACAAUGGGCGCAAGCCUGAUGCAGCGACGCCGCGUGAGGGAUGGAGGCCUUCGGGUUGUAAACCUCUUUUAUCGGGGAGCAAGCGAGAGUGAGUUUACCCGUUGAAUAAGCACCGGCUAACUACGUGCCAGCAGCCGCGGUAAUACGUAGGGUGCAAGCGUUAUCCGGAAUUAUUGGGCGUAAAGGGCUCGUAGGCGGUUCGUCGCGUCCGGUGUGAAAGUCCAUCGCUUAACGGUGGAUCCGCGCCGGGUACGGGCGGGCUUGAGUGCGGUAGGGGAGACUGGAAUUCCCGGUGUAACGGUGGAAUGUGUAGAUAUCGGGAAGAACACCAAUGGCGAAGGCAGGUCUCUGGGCCGUUACUGACGCUGAGGAGCGAAAGCGUGGGGAGCGAACAGGAUUAGAUACCCUGGUAGUCCACGCCGUAAACGGUGGAUGCUGGAUGUGGGGCCCGUUCCACGGGUUCCGUGUCGGAGCUAACGCGUUAAGCAUCCCGCCUGGGGAGUACGGCCGCAAGGCUAAAACUCAAAGAAAUUGACGGGGGCCCGCACAAGCGGCGGAGCAUGCGGAUUAAUUCGAUGCAACGCGAAGAACCUUACCUGGGCUUGACAUGUUCCCGACAGCCGUAGAGAUACGGCCUCCCUUCGGGGCGGGUUCACAGGUGGUGCAUGGUCGUCGUCAGCUCGUGUCGUGAGAUGUUGGGUUAAGUCCCGCAACGAGCGCAACCCUCGCCCCGUGUUGCCAGCGGAUUAUGCCGGGAACUCACGGGGGACCGCCGGGGUUAACUCGGAGGAAGGUGGGGAUGACGUCAGAUCAUCAUGCCCCUUACGUCCAGGGCUUCACGCAUGCUACAAUGGCCGGUACAACGGGAUGCGACACGGCGACGUGGAGCGGAUCCCUGAAAACCGGUCUCAGUUCGGAUUGGAGUCUGCAACCCGACUCCAUGAAGGCGGAGUCGCUAGUAAUCGCGGAUCAGCAACGCCGCGGUGAAUGCGUUCCCGGGCCUUGUACACACCGCCCGUCAAGUCAUGAAAGUGGGCAGCACCCGAAGCCGGUGGCCUAACCCCUUGUGGGAUGGAGCCGUCUAAGGUGAGGCUCGUGAUUGGGACUAAGUCGUAACAAGGUAGCCGUACCGGAAGGGGCGGCUG